rnacentral:misc_RNA from 1 species
AAAGAGGUUGACCAAUUUUUGGGAACUUCCAAAUUCCUAGACACAAACAUGAGUCAAAAGAAUACAAGCCAAGGGAAAAUACUAAUUGAAUUCUUCAAAAAGGCAAAUUUCAUGUCUUAGGAUUAAGAAACAAGACUGCAGAUUCAAUUUAAUGUCAAUAAAAACAUACCCCUUUAGACAUUUCUCAUUGCAUCGACUAAUAAA